rnacentral:rRNA from 1 species
UGGGGAAUUUUGGACAAUGGGCGAAAGCCUGAUCCAGCCAUGCCGCGUGAGUGAAGAAGGCCUUCGGGUUGUAAAGCUCUUUUAGUCGGAAAGAAAGAGUUGCAAUGAAUAAUUGUGAUUUAUGACGGUACCGACAGAAAAAGCACCGGCUAACUACGUGCCAGCAGCCGCGGUAAUACGUAGGGUGCGAGCGUUAAUCGGAAUUACUGGGCGUAAAGGGUGCGCAGGCGGUCUUGCAAGUCAGAUGUGAAAGCCCCGGGCUUAACCUGGGAAUUGCGUUUGAAACUACAAGACUAGAGUGCAGCAGAGGGGGGUGGAAUUCCAUGUGUAGCAGUGAAAUGCGUAGAGAUGUGGAAGAACACCGAUGGCGAAGGCAGCUCCCUGGGUUGACACUGACGCUCAUGCACGAAAGCGUGGGGAGCAAACA